UAUAGAGUGAGCGCCAAAUACGGCACGCUUUUUGAUACCAGAAAAAAUAAGAAACUUGGCACAAUCUUGACAGUUUAUGAACCCCAACAGACUGUGAGGAAAAAAAAUAUUUACCUGACCCUUUUCAGCAAUCACUCGCUUCACCUUUAAUCUCUAGGAUUUGUGAGACAUACCUCUGGUUCCUUCUGCUUAAACUCACCCCAUUGUUGGAGAGAAGCGCCACACACGUGGGCCCCGGGAACAUUACCACAUAACUGGAUUUGUGCCUGGGACCCCUCUCCACUCACCUGGCUGUAGCACCAGAGGUGGAGUCUCCUCUGGUCUUCAUUCUCCGAUGGCCCUUCAGAGCCACCAGCCUUCCUCCUCUGAGAGGCUUCUCCAUCACCUGAGUGGGGCAUCUAGAGCAACUGAUGAGACCAGAGAAAGAGCAGCAGGCAUUGGCUUCCAUCUGGGACCCAAGAGCCGAAUCCAGAACACUGCGGAGAGGACAGGAUGGCAUUCCCAGACCCUAGAGGGAGAUGGCCUGGAGGUCCCUACAAAUGAGGAAGGGGAAGAGGUGCCACACUAAUCCAAAGACUGGAGCAAGGCACGUGGACAAGGGAACUAGAGAAGGAAUAUGGAAAAGAAGCAGUUACUUCCCAUUCGGUUUUACCAGGCUGGUUCAAGACUGCUGUUUACAACAUAUGUUUUUUUCCUCUGAAUUAAAAAAGUAAUAAUCAUUCCUAGUAGACAUUUUAUAUAAAGAAAUUAUAUACAAAUAAUAAAUUUUAAGUAACAAAAAACCCCUCAAAAUUGUGACACUUAGAUCAAACCAUUGAUGCCAUUUCCUCCAUUUACUUUUUUCCCUCUUGUGUAUGUUUUUGUUUGGCUUAUAUACAUACACAGUAUCAUUAUAUGGUGUGAACAGACUGAUUUAUAACUUCUUUUUUCUCAUGUUAUUAAGGCCUCUGAUAUGUUUUUAGUGGCUAUUUAGAAUGAGUAAAUUAUGAUUUGUUUAUGCAAUCCCCCAUUGUUGGACAUUUGAGGUACUCCAUUUUUUGCUGUUCUUAAGAUGCUAAGUUGACAUCCUUGUGGAUAAAUCUUUUGCUUAUCUAUGACUCCUUUCUUAAAAUAAAUUCCUAGAAGUAAAAGUUAAGUAAAAUGGAGAGACUUUUGAUAGAACUUUCUAAGUCUCUGGUCAGUUUUUCUUCCCAUCAGUUGUGGCACAGCCUGCUAUCCCCGCCCUUGACAGAACCACUUAAUGGGGCAUGGUCCUGCUGAUUUAGCUGCCUGAUAUCCUGAGGUCACCUCCUAGUGCCCGACUCAAAGCCCACAGUAGGGACUGAAUAAAUUCUUGUUGAUUGAUGGAGUCUUUCUUACAGCCUUUAUUCUCCUAACAAUAUAAACACUCCAGAGAUCUCAGCCUAACAGUUAUUGUUUCCAAUACCCUGCUCUUUACCCUCUCCUGGGUGGAAGCUUUGGCAGGGGUGGAGAGAAGCAGUAGAAAAACCAUACCAUGGACAUCUAAGAAUCUGGCCUGAGAAGUAGUUGCAAUGUCUAGAACACAGUCUCAUCAAAGUUUGAAGCAGAGAACAUCUACCUUUGGAGCUGUCACAGAGGAAUUGUGCCAUGUUUCAUCAUUUCUAAGCUUCCUUCUUUCUUCAGUCCUCCUCUUAGAUUUUUGAGUGCUAAUCUGAUACCCAAACUAAGCUCACUCAUGGGAAUGGUUGUGAUUGUUCUUUCAUGCCUCCCUGACUUGGCAUGUGCUGAUCUCUCAGCCUGGAACAACGCCCCCUCUCCCUCCCUCUCCUUUUCCAUACAUUUCUUUAAUUUUAAAAGUCUUGGCUUAACCAUUUCUUCUUUUGUGUAAAAUGAACCAAUCCUCUCUCCUAGACUGAGUUGAGACCUUGUACUCUCUUCUACAAUAAAUUUUCUCUUUAUUGUACUUACUUGUUUUCAUGUCUGUCUUCUCCUUUAUUCUAUGAGGUUCUAGAACCCAGGUGUGUGUACUGACUCAUUCCCCUUGGCAAUUCCAGUGCUAAGUACAUAUAGAGGCAGUCAAUAAAUGUUUGUUCAACAGUGUUGGUUAAGUUAAUGAAUGAUCCUUGAUCAUUUUUAUGAAGGACUCUCUAGGCAUAUAUUGACUCAAAAUUGCUAGGGUUCCCAAAUCCAAUAAGGCAAUGUUGACCCUGCCCCAGGUCCUGCAUGUCAGGACACCCUUGCGCUCUGGUUGGCAUGGUGGAGCACUUGGCUAUAGACCUAAGCCAAUCAGAGCAUCCCAUUUCCUAGGCCCAGUGAUUGGACCCAAUCAGACUCAGUGAGAUGCAAUGUAGAGGACAUUACAGAGACUUCUGGAAAGAGACUCAUUCUGCUGGACUUGGAGUUGGAAACUAUGAGGAGAUGAUGUGACCAUCUUGCCAUGCUGUGCAGCUUGAGGAUGAAGCCAACCUGGGAAAUGGACCCAAAAGAUAAAGAAGAGAGGAGCCUGUCCUGAUGGUCCUGUUUGAGCCCUGCUCAAGCCAUGCCUGAUUCCUCUUGAACUGUUCAGUUACGUGAUCCAAUAAAUUCAAUUUUUGCUCUAG
ensembl:lincRNA